rnacentral:lncRNA from 1 species
CUUUGGUGCCACUUUGCCAGCUGGGAAUCUCUGUGGCCAGCACUGCCUGGAAAUCUCUGUGGCCACGGCUGCCUCUGGCCUGGCCUUUCUAGGGCCAGCUGGACUCGCUCUGCCUGCUCAGCCCAGCAGCCUGCACUCAGUUCACUCCCUGGCCCGGAUCCCAUGACUGCCUUGGCUCUAUGCUCAGCUUGAGCCUGAAUCAGGCGUGCUGUGAGUGGCUUCUGUAUAGGGCGCAGGCGUCUAGAAUAGGCGAAGGUUGGUGGUGCCCAAAACCUCAGAGAUGCCAGCAAUCGCGGAGCCCCAAGUGGUGUUACAGCUCUUGCUUGGGGAGUCCCAAGGUUUGGGCCCCAAGAAAAGUUGCAGCUCUUUACUCUCGUAGCUCAGCCAGUGGGAGCGUGUUAUAGCUGUCUUUCUCCUGUAGUCCGGUGAGCAGGAAUGUGUUAUAGCUCUUUCAUUCCAGCCGCCCACAGCUGAGUGAGUUCCAAGUUCUUGUCCUGUGACCAAGAGGAAUAAGGUGUGUGGACACUGGAGAGUAAGUAAGGCAGAGAAGAAUUUUAUUGAGCGACAGAAGGAAAGCCCUCAACUGUGAAAAGGGACCCUGAAAGUGGGUUGUCAUCUGUGAGGCUGAGUCUGGGCUUGUCUGGGUUUACAAUGGGAGAAUGUGUGCUGAUUGGUCCAUAGGUGUUCUUUGAAAAAAUCACCAUCCAAUUGGUUAAAAAGCAUCAUCCGGAAGGAACCAAUCAAGAGAGAGAAGAUCAUUCCUCCGCUUGUUGAGCUCAUUUCUUCUCUCCUUGUAGGUCUGAUAAAUUGACCCCAGUGCUCAUCUAUUAAUUCAAAAGAAGCUUUGUGCUUGCAUCAGCGCUGCCUGACACAGGGGAAAAUGAGAAAUGCGGCCAUUGAUAUACAGAGAACGGCAAUGUGGCUAAACUGAAGAGAGUAGGCUUUUGGCCAGCUACUUCCAACAUGGCUCAUUUCAAAUUCUCACUUGUUCAACUAAAACAAAAUAUUAAUGAAUCUGCUGAAUAAAGCUUAUAAAUGCUGAAGAAUUAAUAAGGGUGAAAUCUGAAGGGCAUAAGGAUAUUUUUUUCAAUAAAUUCUCUUUGACCACUCAUGCUCAGGUGUGUUAUAUGUUACCUCUUGUUUUUAUGAAUCCUUCCAUUGUUGUAAAUGGGCUCUGUAUAACCUUUUCAAUUAGGAAAGAUCAAAGAGACUUUGAUAAAAUAUAUUGCAAAGUUACCUAUGCUUUAAAAUUUAAUAAAAAUGACCAAAUGACUAAGCAAGCACUGUUUGGUUAGAAAGUAGAUUAAUGUCAAGAAUUAUACUGAAUGUAGGUAGCUAUAUCAAAAAAGAGUGAUCAUAUGUAUGGUUAUGUUGCAAGGAGGAGAAAAUAGUUAGAUUUCUUAGUUUAAAAAUAAUUACCGGUGCUGGACGCCGUGGCUCAUGCCUGUAAUCCCAGCACUUUGGGAGGCCGAGGUGGAUGGAUCACAAAGUCGGGCGUUCAAGAACAUCCUGGCCAACGUAGUGAAGCCCCAUUUCCACCAAAAAUACAAAAAUUAGCUGGGCAUAGUGGUGUGCACCUGUAGUCCCAGCUACUCGGGAGGCCGAGGCAGGAGAAUCACUUGAAUCUCCUGGGAAGCGGAAGUUUCAGUGAGCCGAGAUGGCGCCACUGCACUCCAGCUUGGGCAACAGCGUGAGACUUUGUCUCAAAAGUAAUAUUAAUA